UUGCUUCAGCAGUACAUAUUCUAAAAUUAAAACGAUGCAGAGAAGAUUAGCAUGGCACCUGCGCAAGGAUGACAUGCAAAUUCAUAAAGCAUUCCAUAUUUAA